rfam:Picea glauca, whole genome shotgun sequence.
AUGUAAUGCAAUUCCUACAGUGUUAAUUCAUCAGAUACCAUUAGACCUCCAUAUUUAAGCAUGCUUGGGCUAGUAUUACUAGAAUGGGUGACCUCCUAGGAAGUCCUAGUGUUUUACAUG